UGCACGUGGACCAGUACACGGCACAGUGCACGUGGACCAGUACACGGCACAGUGCACGUGGACCAGUACACGUUAACAUUCCGUUUAAAGGACUGUACCCUGUGGUUGAUGUUUUCUGAUCACCGUGCGAACAGGUUGUCCUUAUGCAGUGUGUUACACUCAGACUCUAAACAACGACCAGAGGGGGCUGACGUCUCUUGUUUUUGCAACAGGAAGUUACAGCAACCUUACGAAAGUGAUGGCACAUUCAGGAGCAUAUGAGAUAAUGCAUUCAAGCCUUUUUUCUAAAUAGUAGAGGCCUGUGGCUGAAAAACACCACCACGAAAGUACCAAGCUACGCAUUUAUUUAGAGGCCAAAUAAACUAAACAUUGAUUAAGUGAUGUACAUGAUCUAUGCACAAAGAAUGUGACUUCCUUUUCAUCAUCAAUCAACUUAUCCAUCCUUAACUCCAUUAAAUACUGUGCUUUAAAUGGAAAGAGAAGGGUGACCGGCCUUCUAUAACACAGGGACAUGUACACAGAGUUCUACUGUAGGUUCUAUAACACAGAGUUCUACUGUAGGUUCUAUAACACAGGGACAUGUAUACAGAGUUCUACUGUAGGUUCUAUAACACAGGGACAUGUACACAGAGUUCUACUGUAGGUUCUAUAACACAGGGACAUGUAUACAGAGUUCUACUGUAGGUUCUAUAACACAGGGACAUGUACACAGAGUUCUACUGUAGGUUCUAUAACACAGAGUUCUACUGUAGGUUCUAUAACACAGAGUUCUACUGUAGGUUCUAUAACACAGGGACAUGUAUACAGAGUUCUACUGUAGGUUCUAUAACACAGGGACAUGUACACAGAGUUCUACUGUAGGUUCUAUAACACAGGGACAUGUACACAGAGUUCUACUGUAGGUUCUAUAACACAGGGACAUGUACACAGAGUUCUACUGUAGGUUCUAUAACACAGGGACAUGUACACAGAGUUCUACUGUAGGUUCUAUAACACAGGGACAUGUAUACAGAGUUCUACUGUAGGUUCUAUAACACAGGGACAUGUAUACAGAGUUCUACUGUAGGUUCUAUAACACAGGGACAUGUAUACAGAGUUCUACUGUAGGUUUCCCAUCUCUCACAUAGCCUCAUCUAGCCUGGUCCCAGAUCUGUUUCCCAUCUCUCACAUAGCCUCAUCUAGCCUGGUCCCAGAUCUGUUUCCCAUCUCUCACAUAGCCUCAUCUAGCCUGGUCCCAGAUCUGUUUCCCAUCUCUCACAUAGCCUCAUCUAGCCUGGUCCCAUAUCUGUUUCCCCAUCUCUCACAUAGCCUCAUCUAGCCUGGUCCCAGAUCUGUUUCCCCAUCUCUCACAUAGCCUCAUCUAGCCUGGUCCCAGAUCUGUUUCCCAUCUCUCACAUAGCCUCAUCUAGCCUGGUCCCAGAUCUGUUUCCCCAUCUCUCACAUAGCCUCAUCUAGCCUGGUCCCAGAUCUGUUUCCCAUCUCUCACAUAGCCUCAUCUAGCCUGGUCCCAGAUCUGUUUCCCAUCUCUCACAUAGCCUCAUCUAGCCUGGUCCCAGAUCUGUUUCCCAUCUCUCACAUAGCCUCAUCUAGCCUGGUCCCAGAUCUGUUUCCCAUCUCUCACAUAGCCUCAUCUAGCCUGGUCCCAGAUCUGUUUCCCAUCUCUCACAUAGCCUCAUCUAGCCUGGUCCCAGAUCUGUUUCCCAUCUCUCACAUAGCCUCAUCUAGCCUGGUCCCAGAUCUGUUUCCCAUCUCUCACAUAGCCUCAUCUAGCCUGGUCCCAGAUCUGUUUCCCAUCUCUCACAUAGCCUCAUCUAGCCUGGUCCCAGAUCUGUUUCCCAUCUCUCACAUAGCCUCAUCUAGCCUGGUCCCAGAUCUGUUUCCCAUCUCUCACAUAGCCUCAUCUAGCCUGGUCCCAGAUCGGUUUCCCCAUCUCUCACAUAGCCUCAUCUAGCCUGGUCCCAGAUCUGUUUCCCAUCUCUCACAUAGCCUCAUCUAGCCUGGUCCCAGAUCUGUUUCCCAUCUCUCACAUAGCCUCAUCUAGCCUGGUCCCAGAUCUGUUUGUGCUCUUUCCUACUCCAUUGCUGUCAUUGUCAAGCCAAGGACUUGGCAAGCGAGCAGAAACAGACUGGAACCCAGGCUACUAUUGAUGUCACUAAACAACUAGAGCACCACAGAGAGACUGAGUACUAUCUACUAUUGAUGUCACUAAACAACUCGAGCACCACAGAGAGACUGAGUACUAUCUACUAUUGAUGUCACUAAACAACUAGAGCACCACAGAGAGACUCUACUAUUGAUGUCACUAAACAACUAGAGCACCACAGAGAGACUGUGUACUAUCUACUAUUGAUGUCACUAAACAACUAGAGCACCACAGAGAGACUCUACUAUUGAUGUUACUAAACAACACUAGCACCACAGAGAGACUGUGUACUAUCUACUAUUGAUGUCACUAAACAACUAGAGCACCACAGAGAGACUGAGUACUAUCUACUAUU